GGCAGGCAGCAGGAGCAUUGCUCCUGCACAUCCUCGAUGUCAAUGGAGUACACAGCUUUGCUGGCACACUUUCCCUGUAAUGCAGCAGAGAGAUGGGGCAUCACAAUGCUGGAUGGGGCAGCAGGAUUCUGGGACAACCUAUAUCCUCCUCCUGCCUUACCCAGAGACCCCUGGGGGAGCUAGGCAGCUUCUAAAGGUAGAUCUCAGGAAACUGUGAGCCUCCUUUCUCCAAUUAUUACACAUACCCAAACCCCUCUGGCCAUAAUUUCCACACACACUGAUUGAUCCUGAAUCCCCAUCUUCCACAAAUGACACCCCAGUUUCUUUAUAGAUCUGUUCUCAUCUUUCUUCUGGGCUCAAACAGUUCUACUCACUAAAUGAAACACUCACUUUAAAAACAAUGCUUACAGUCCCUUGUAUCUCUCUUCCUUAUAACUUUUCCAGAUCCUUCUAGAUGACAACUAAAGAGACUUAGCUUUUCCCACCCAGGUCUUCUUGAAGUCACGCAGCUUUUUACCUGGCAGUAAUGAAUGUCCACUUCCUCUUGGGACUUACAAUCUCCCACUUUGAUGUACUGCACCUUGGCUGUGAUGUCUUUGCAAUCAGGCUCCUCACCUGUAGAUCAGGCAAGAGGUGGAAUUGGAGGGCUGGUUAGCUGGGGUUCUAGAGAACACUUUCCACAUCCAGCUUCUGCACUAAGUUGGAACUGCUCCUCUUCCCAUCAACAACUAACCAAGAUCAGUUGCAGGAAAGGGAACUAAGUUCUUCAAGCUCAACUCAGCUGUUCCUGGUUCCUCAAAUGCAGAGAUGUCAUUGCUACUGGGAUUAGCUCACUGGACAGUACAAUUUUAAUUGCAGAAGGAACCAAGGCUCACUGUGUUUUUGUCAUAUAGACAGAUGACAGUUGCUUUUAUACAAUUUUAAAUUUCAUGGACAGAGUAGUCAUGUCAGACUAUAACUAUAACUAAUGGACAAUGAAGUAGCCACUAAAUAGAAUUAAUAUCAGCUCAUGACUAUAUUUGGCUAAGAAGGCAAAUGUCAUGGUCACAUUCAUAUUCAUUUCCUCUGUAGAGGCUCAGGAAGGUCCUAAGAACCUUUGUGCAACUGUCAUAUUGAGAGUUGCUACUUCUAUGUCACAAGCAUGAGAGCAUCCUUGUCUACAGUGGCCUUAAGAGCUGAAGCUCUGCUUGACUUGACUCAAUGCCAAGUCUAAGGUCUAACACCAACUAACCACUCUGCCCUGAGUCAUGAUGGUUUUCCAUCCUGGCAUGGCUCCAAAUCUAGGCCAGCCCUAUAGACAUGCUAGCCUGCCUCCCAACUUCAAAAGAAUUCCAUCUUAAUGGGAAAGUCUUCCAACUGCACAAGAAAACAAAUUUGGAGCCAAUAUGCAAUGUUCUCUUGCUGUAGAUUUCAAUUCUUGAGCUUAGUUUAUUUUCUUUAUAAAAAGCUUACAGCCUCCUGAACAUAUUGGCCAAUGAAGGGUCCUUAUGGCUGGUUUUGUAGAUAACAACCUCUUAACCAGAUCCUAAGAACAGUAUCUAGAAAGAGUGCAUCUCCUCUAAUAGCUUCCUGAAUUCACAUUCUUAAAUGGUUCUGAAGGAAAUUUGGAAAGAACCCCUCUCAGAGUGUUUCCUCCUUCUGCUGUUCAGCGAUGGCCAUCACUGGGCUGUCACAGCCAACCAUUAAGAAAAGAAGAAGUGAUGAAAGGAAUUCAUGCUUUUACCCUUCUCUAACUGCAACCAUGAAUUUAUGAAUCUAAAACAACACACUAAACUCAAAAAAAAAUUAGUCUAAGCAAGAAAUGUGUGACUUGUGCUCAUGAACACAAAAAUGGCCAGGGCAGAUAGCGUCUAGUACACAUCUCCAAAACCAUCCAAUUAGAGCCACCAACACUGUGUAACCACAGUGUUUACACUGUGUAUCCAAUUAGAGCCACCAACACUGUGUAACCACAAAGUCAAGAGGGACCAAGGUUGAUGAAAAUAAGGGCAUAAACUUGGGCUAGCCUUAUGAAGCUCCUUCAUGAUAGAUAUAUGAACAAUCAAGGAUUCUAAGGUGCAUAGAAGGCAAGAGAUGGAGCAGGGAAAAACGUGUGAUUACUUCAGGGUGAUUGGUAGGAGAUUUGAGCUGGGAACAGGCUGAUGACAAUCAGGAAGAGAAGGUAGUUGGCUGAAUGGGUAAACAUAAUGACCAACUCAUAACUAAGAACUAGUUUUCUGGAAUAAAGUUGAUUUCAAACAGUGAUGCCUGGCCUUGCUCUGAUGGACAUGGAAAUAUAAGUAAUGGACUCACAUGUGUCACAGCAGGUGCCUGGAAUUUUCACGAUUUUGCCCUAAAAAAAAACCAAAAACAAAAAAGAAAAAGAAAGAAGGAAAAAGGCACAAAUAAUUCAACAUGGACAAGUUCUCACAUCAAAUGAAUUCCUGGCUCAGAACUCAGAGCUCUGAGCUGAAAUCCCCACAGGUAAACUGCUUUCGCAUCACAAUUGUGAGCCAACUGACCAAAGUGGUCAGAAACUUCAUUCUCAGAAAAAAUUAAAAUGGAGUCAAUGUUC
rnacentral:lncRNA from 1 species